rnacentral:rRNA from 1 species
GGGACACGUGGUAUCCUGUCUGAAUAUGGGGGGACCAUCCUCCAAGGCUAAAUACUCCUGACUGACCGAUAGUGAACCAGUACCGUGAGGGAAAGGCGAAAAGAACCCCGGCGAGGGGAGUGAAAAAGAACCUGAAACCGUGUACGUACAAGCAGUGGGAGCACGCUUAGGCGUGUGACUGCGUACCUUUUGUAUAAUGGGUCAGCGACUUAUAUUCUGUAGCAAGGUUAACCGAAUAGGGGAGCCGAAGGGAAACCGAGUCUUAACUGGGCGUUAAGUUGCAGGGUAUAGACCCGAAACCCGGUGAUCUAGCCAUGGGCAGGUUGAAGGUUGGGUAACACUAACUGGAGGACCGAACCGACUAAUGUUGAAAAAUUAGCGGAUGACUUGUGGCUGGGGGUGAAAGGCCAAUCAAACCGGGAGAUAGCUGGUUCUCCCCGAAAGCUAUUUAGGUAGCGCCUCGUGAAUUCAUCUCCGGGGGUAGAGCACUGUUUCGGCAAGGGGGUCAUCCCGACUUACCAACCCGAUGCAAACUGCGAAUACCGGAGAAUGUUAUCACGGGAGACACACGGCGGGUGCUAACGUCCGUCGUGAAGAGGGAAACAACCCAGACCGCCAGCUAAGGUCCCAAAG